rnacentral:rRNA from 1 species
GCGAACAGACGAGGAGCUUGCUCCUCUGACGUUAGCGGCGGACGGGUGAGUAACACGUGGAUAACCUACCUAUAAGACUGGGAUAACUUCGGGAAACCGGAGCUAAUACCGGAUAAUAUAUUGAACCGCAUGGUUCAAUAGUGAAAGACGGUUUUGCUGUCACUUAUAGAUGGAUCCGCGCCGCAUUAGCUAGUUGGUAAGGUAACGGCUUACCAAGGCGACGAUGCGUAGCCGACCUGAGAGGGUGAUCGGCCACACUGGAACUGAGACACGGUCCAGACUCCUACGGGAGGCAGCAGUAGGGAAUCUUCCGCAAUGGGCGAAAGCCUGACGGAGCAACGCCGCGUGAGUGAUGAAGGUCUUCGGAUCGUAAAACUCUGUUAUUAGGGAAGAACAAAUGUGUAAGUAACUAUGCACGUCUUGACGGUACCUAAUCAGAAAGCCACGGCUAACUACGUGCCAGCAGCCGCGGUAAUACGUAGGUGGCAAGCGUUAUCCGGAAUUAUUGGGCGUAAAGCGCGCGUAGGCGGUUUUUUAAGUCUGAUGUGAAAGCCCACGGCUCAACCGUGGAGGGUCAUUGGAAACUGGAAAACUUGAGUGCAGAAGAGGAAAGUGGAAUUCCAUGUGUAGCGGUGAAAUGCGCAGAGAUAUGGAGGAACACCAGUGGCGAAGGCGACUUUCUGGUCUGUAACUGACGCUGAUGUGCGAAAGCGUGGGGAUCAA